rnacentral:tRNA from 1 species
ACUAGCGUAGCUUAAUGGAAAAGCUCUGAGGUACCAUAAAAACUGUGCAGGGUAUCCGGGUUCGAGUCCCGGCGCUAGUACCA